rnacentral:rRNA from 1 species
GUAGGUGGCAAGCGUUGUCCGGAAUUAUUGGGCGUAAAGCGCGCGCAGGCGGUCCUUUAAGUCUGAUGUGAAAGCCCACGGGCUCAACCGUGGAGGGUCAUUGGAAACUGGGGGGACUUGAGUACAGAAGAGGAAAGCGGAAUUCCAAGUGUAGCGGUGAAAUGCGUAGAGAUUUGGAGGAACACCAGUGGCGAAGGCGGCUUUCUGGUCUGUAACUGACGCUGAGGCGCGAAAGCGUGGGGAGCAAACAGGAUUAGAUACCCUGGUAGUCCACGCCGUAAACGAUGAGUGCUAAGUGUUAGGGGGUUUCCGCCCCUUAGUGCUGCAGCUAACGCAUUAAGCACUCCGCCUGGGGAGUACGGCCGCAAAGGCUGA